UGAGAGCACGUUCAUACAGUCAACGGCCAUCAAAAAAGACAGGAGUAAGAGAUUAAGCCUGAGGAAAGGAGUGUGAAGCAGCAUGCAGUCGGACAAACCAUUUCAAUGUCAAACUUGAGAGCAAAAUACGACAUUAGGAGUUAUGAACUUCACAUUUGUUUGUUGCAGUCAGAGCAGCAUUUAUUGAGUCAAUUAUUGACACAGAUUGGUGUUUACAGGGUUAUGUGCUACACAAAUGCAGCAUAUAAAGUGUGUCCUCGUUGGGGACGUGGCUGCAGAUAAAACCAAACUUCUGAACAGCUACACCAUUGGUAAAUGUCUAAAUGAUUACAACCACACUGUGUUUCAUAAUUAUGCUGCCACUGUGAUGGUCAAUGGAGAUCCAGUGACUGUGGGACUGUUUGAUACAGCGGGACAGGAGGAUUACGUCAAACUUCGAUCACUUUCCUACUUUGAUAUGGAUGUGUUUUUGAUCUGUUUUUCUCUUGUGGAUCCACAAUCAUUUGAGAAUGUCAGUGGAAAGUGGUUUCCAGAAGUCAAACAUCAUUGCCCAAACACUCCUAUAAUUCUAGUCGGGACUCAACUUGACCUGAAGAAUGACACUGAGACCAUCAAAAAGCUGAAAGAGAAGAAGCAAACCCCCGUCACCUUCCAUCGAGGCCUGGCUACAGCUGAAAAAAUAGGAGCUGUGAAGUAUGUGGAGUGCUCAGCAGAAACACUGACGGGGGUUAAAACAUUGUUUGAUGAAGCCGUUUGUGCAGUUCUGGUCAAUGAGCUGAAAAUGAAGAGCAAAUGCUUGAUCUCCUGAACUGAAUGCAAUCUGAGCUGGAGACGAUAAUGAUGACACAAUUAUGUGUGAAUUUUGGGAAAGAAGAUAUACUACAUGAUCUUAUUCUACAUUCCAAUGCCUUACUUAACUACUAUUUAACUACCUCUUCAAAAGCAGCUAUAAUUAUAGAGGUGAUAGUUAGGUGAUUUUUAAUGGGUUGUUAAUAUUAAAAUUUAAACAUUAAAAUCAGUUACCUCAGAGCCCAGAGAAAUUGACAGUGCAUCUGGACACUGUUAACAUAGGGCUUCCUUUUGGCACAGUGCAGUUUUCACUGGCAUUUGUGGAUGUAACGCUGUAUUGUGGUUCUUGACAAAGGUUUGCCACAGUAGUCCUGAGCUCAUGUGGUGAUAUGCCUAAUAGAUGAAUGAGGAUUCUUGAUGCAGCACUGCCUCAGGGAUCAGAGAUUACGGUUGUUCAGUUUAGGCUUGCACUCUUCUUCUUUAAGCACUGGAAUUCCUCGAGAUUACUUGAAUAUUUGAAUGAUGUUCUGCACUGUUGAUGGUGAAAUAUCCAAAUGUAUUCCUCUCUUUCUUUGAGAAACAUUGAUUUUAAACAUUUCAAUCAUUUUUUCAUGUAUUUGUUGGCAAUCUGGUUAUCCACGGCCCACCUAAUCUCCUGCAGGACUAGACCAGGGGUGCCCAAACUUUAUCAUAUAAUGGGCCAAAAACCUAACUUGAUUGAGGGCUGUGGGCCAAAGUUUAAUAUACCAAACUGUAUUACAUAAUAUUUGCUC